ensembl:lncRNA
AUGAGCAAAAAUACCUUCCUAUAUAGCAGACUGAAAUACGAAGAUGUACUAAAGAGUUCUCAAGGACUGUCUCAGAAAUGUGAUGUAAGGAAAAAGAGGAAAGGAGACUGUGGAGUAGGGGGCGGGGCUGCCUCUUCUCAAAUAGGAUUGCCAAGUAUUCAGAGACACAGAAAGAAAGGUCAGAGGUGGCCGAUGGCUUCUGUGUGGGUUGCACAGCUUCUCACAGGGUUGGACGUCAGUGCAUUUAUUCUGGAGUGACUCAGAGGAAGUCCUCUGCCUGGUUCCAAGCUCCAAUAUGAGCCACAUGUGAAAGCAGACCUCAGGGGAGGGAAUGAGUGACAGAGAUGCUCUCAGUAAGGACCUCAGUGAGGCUGGAGGUGAGGACAGUGGGAAGGUUUGAGGCUUGAAAUGUGAAGCAGCUCUCUGCAGUUUUCAGUGAGGCCCUGUGGACAGAUGAACACAGUGGUUUAGGUGCAUUGACUGGACAGUCACAGAUUAUUUAACAGUUCUGACUGUCCACACACUUAACGUUUAAUGAACAUACCUUGAAAUAUUUGGGCCAGUUCACAUUCUUAAGCCAAGUUUUUGGUAAGAAUUUAUCCUGUCAUUUAGGUAUUGUUAGCAAUUGAUGGUGACCACGGCAAUAGGGGCUUCUCAGUGCAACUAGUGAUGGAGAACUUAAGACGAAAGUAUACAGAUCGAGGUUCUUAUGACGGAUUUUCUUUUAGGGUAGCUUUAAGAGUUUGUUGGAUCUGACUCCACACGUAGGAAAGUAAAAAAUAGCAGCCAGACCCUUGUGACUUUAACAGUGAAGUAUUGUUCCCAGGGGUGAAUGAGCAAGUGGAAAACAUAAGGAAAAAGUAGAGAUGAUGGUUUCUCCUAGUGGGGGAAUGGAGAAAUUGUUAGAUUAUUUAAAGACCGUGACAAAUUUGUGGUUUAUCAUACGAUAAAGAAUUCUGAGUCUUGAAAAUGACUGCUCCUUAAACUUAUUCACCCAGUAUCCCACUGCCAUCCCUUAGUAUGUAGGCCACUGCCUCCUAAAAACCUGAAGGAUCGCAAAGCUACAUACUGGGAUUUAAGAUCAAAAUGCUGCAGAAACUUGAGAGAGGCCACCAAGUAUCUGGAAGCGUCUCUGUGAAAGGAAUUGACCCAUUAGAGUGUAAACAGUGUUUAUGCCCAGUGAAGUAAGUGGCUUCUCCAAGCCCUUUUCUGAAAAUGAGAGGUCCUGACAUCAUGUUGAGUAUGUGGAACAAAAACACUGAGGGCAAAGAAUCAAAACAGUUUAAACAGAUAACAUCUUUGAGACAAUCUGAUAAAGCUUCUGUUCCAGAAUUACAGAGGGAAGGAAGAAUGGAAUGGGGUCAUCCGUGUCUUCCCGCAGCCCCAUAAAUCUGUCGACAAUUGCCAAACUCAGAAAGCCAUGUGAAAAUAGAAACUUGGAGUAAGAAAGAUCAGAGGAUGUCUUUGUCAUUUCUGGUAAGAGCAUUGGGAAAUCUAGCCAUCUGAAUUCUAGGCAAAUGUGGUAAGGAAGGUUUUGUGCCUGUUGAUUUAAUCUAAACACAGAAAGCCAAAGAAGCCCCUAUUAAAUAUUUGGUAAGUUGUCCUUCUGUUAGUGUGCUCACACAAUUGCAGAACAGAUUUCUUUUACCAGCUGUGAAAGUAUAAUGUAUUAUAGACAAUAUAUAAGUUUAGAGUUGGCAGGACAGAAUGUUUGGAGUAUUUGCAUGUACCCUUUGUAUUCCUUUUCUAUCCGAAUGGUUCGUUUGGGGUCUAAUAUUCAAGCUAGGCUCUGUAAGCUGUCAGAGAAAGAUGACAGUGGAUUGGAUGUGGGAUACAAAAGGAAAAUAGGUGUUAAGAGUGAUGUCAUGUUUUUGGUUUGAGCAAUUGGGAAGAUGAAGUUGCCAUCAACAGGGAUGAGGACUUGUGGGGAUGGUUUAGGGUUUGGAGGUGGUGCUCAUUGCUGGCUGUGUUAGGUAUUAGAAGCCUUUUAGAUAUCCAGAUGAAGGUGUUGAGCAAGAAGUUGGAUAUAAAAGUCUGCAAAGAGGCUUGGGAGGGAGGUAAAUAUUUGGAUGUUGACAGCAUGUGAAUAGUAUUCAAAAACAUCACUAAGGGAGUGAGUGGAGGUAGAGGGAUGUUCUGUAGCUAGGAGGUUGGAGAGAAGAGGAGGGAUCUGUGGAGGAACCUGAGAAAGUCUGACUGUGAAGUAGGAAGAAGUAAUAGAGUUGGUGUCCUAGAAGCCAGGGAAAGUAAGAUAUUCCAGGGAGGAGAGUCAGCACUUGUGUUAUACCAGCAAGUUAAGUAAAGUAAUGUGAGGACCGAGAGAUGCCAGGUGAAUUGAACUACUGGGUUAUUGGCAGUGCUGAGUAGUUUUUAGAGGAGUGGUGGGAAUUAAGUUAGUAGUGGAGUUAAGACAGAGUGAGAGAUAAGAGGAAGGAGACAUGAAGUUUCAGGAGUUUGAGGCAAAGGGGAGCAAAGAAGUAGGACUGUGGCUGGCAGAAAAAGUUGGGAUCAAAAUCCUUUGUUUUAGGCAGUGUUGGUGUGUGAUGUGAAAGACCCAGAGAUCCUGUCCUGCAAGAAAGGAAGAGCUGCUGAGGGACCGGAGAGGAGAAGGCUGAGCCCUGCCCCUGGGCAGCUGCAGGAGAGCGGCCCUUGGGUCACCUCUGCUGGGGGUGCAGACAUUGCUAGGGAGUAACUGGGGAGAAGGGGGGACGUGUGGGUGCAGAUACAGGUGCGUGGUUCUGAAGCAGGACACAAGGUCACCAGCCACGAGCGAGUCUGGGAAGUGACAUUACAAGUGUGGGAGAGAGGGCAGUUCUGAAAUAGUAUCCAGGAAUGUCCCAGGUGAUCGGCUUCAGGGGCCCAGUCUGGGAGUGAUUAGAACACUCAGGGGGUUAGUUAUUUUCUUUUCUAGAAACAUUUCAGCCUUCCAGAUCAUCUGAAAGGUUUCACAUCAUGAAUGCAGUGAGUCUUAAAACAGUUACAUUCUUGAGAGACUCAGUUCUCUCACCCGUAACUAUCAUUGCAGGUUUUGUCUGUGCUGUAAUUGUGAGUACACGUCGCGCAUUGCAUCAGCAGCAUGCUGAAAGGCUGAAGAAAGAAUUUAAAAUGUAUGUAAACUCUCGCUGCUUGGAUAGGAACUGAACACUGCAGACUCAGCACUUCCAGCACUGACUUCUUGAGUUUGUUCUCCCGACUUCCUCUCCUCUGCGCGACCACACCAUCUAGUUCCUUUCUGAAUCUCCUUAAUCUCAGUAAAUAUCACCACCAUCCCUUCACUUGCUUUUAGCCAAAAGUCUUGUCAAUACACAUCCCAAAUACUUCUCAAGAGCAGCGUACUCCCUUCCUUCUCCGCUUUAUUACUGUAACUCAAGCUGCUGUCCCUCCUCUCUGGGAUUAUCGCAACAACCUGCUAACCCGUCUCCCCGCUCUGCGUGUCUCUGCUAAGUCCGCAAGGAAGCCAGGGUGACGUGCAUCACCCUGUGUGAAGCCCUCCAGGGGUUUUCCACUGUGCAUAGAAUAAAAUCUGCGUGCUGCCUGUUUGGCCAUGUCUGAGCUUGGUUUCCCGCCUGACUUCAUCAUGUUCCACUCAUAACCCAGGUCGCUGGGUUUCAGUCGUCUGGGCCACCGUUCCUCUCUUUUUAGUGCUUUGCACAAGUUGUGGGCUCUUCUGCUGUCUCAAGGCCUUUGGUAUUUAUUAUUUCCUCUGCCUGAAUGCUGAUUCCUCAACUCUGUGUGGCUAGUUUCUGCUGAUUGCCUUCUAACAGUUUUUUAAUGCUCUGGUGCCAUCGUCUCAGAGAGGCCUUUCUGACCAUUCUACUCACAGUGCCCUUGUCUUGUGUCAGAGGUACUCGCUAUUACGUGAAUCACUUUCCCUUCAGAGCCUGUAACAGAUUCUGAGUCUGUCUGGGGCAAAGUUUUAUUCUCUAUCUCCUCCUUCUCCUACUAGAAAUAUGCUCAUUGAGGACAGGAAUUGUGUCUGUCUCAGUCCCGUUUGUGUAGCUGCAGAACAGUGAUGGGCACAUGGGGGUCACCCAGGAAAUGAUAGGAAGUGCUGAUAAAAAAAUGGAAGCCAGAGCAUGGAUGCAUUCUUCCCUUGUAAAUUUGCUACUUAUAUGUCAGGAAGCUGUCUUGCUGAGUUGUGUGCAAGCGCUGGAUGAGUUAGUUGUACUGCAUAUUAUGGAGUAAGGAGCAUGUGCUCNNNNNNNNNNNNNNNNNNNNNNNNNNNNNNNNNNNNNNNNNNNNNNNNNNNNNNNNNNNNNNNNNNNNNNNNNNNNNNNNNNNNNNNNNNNNNNNNNNNNNNNNNNNAUAAUAUAUAUCUAUAGCACUUUUCUGAGGAUUGAAUAAGUGAUCAUUUGCUCUUGUUCAGUCAUUCAGUUGU